CGCGGCCUAUCAGCUUGUUGGUGGGGUAACGGCCUACCAAGGCAUCGACGGGUAGCUGGUCUGAGAGGACGAUCAGCCACACUGGGACUGAGACACGGCCCAGACUCCUACGGGAGGCAGCAGUAGGGAAUCUUGCGCAAUGGGCGAAAGCCUGACGCAGCAACGCCGCGUGAGGGAUGACGGCUUUCGGGUUGUAAACCUCUUUCAGUGAUGACGAAAAUGACGGUAGUCACAGAAGAAGGUCCGGCCAACUACGUGCCAGCAGCCGCGGUAACACGUAGGGACCAAGCGUUGUCCGGAUUUAUUGGGCGUAAAGAGCUCGUAGGCUGUUGCGUAAGUCGGAUGUGAAAACUCAGGGCUCAACCCGGAGACGCCAUCCGAUACUGCGCUGACUGGAGUCCGGUAGGGGAGCAUGGAAUUCCUGGUGUAGCGGUGAAAUGCGCAGAUAUCAGGAGGAACACCAGUGGCGAAGGCGGUGCUCUGGGCCGGUACUGACGCUGAGGAGCGAAAGCAUGGGGAGCAAACAGGAUUAGAUACCCUGGUAGUCCAUGCCGUAAACGUUGGGCACUAGGUGUGGGGUCUUCUUAACGGAUUCCGUGCCGUAGCUAACGCAUUAAGUGCCCCGCCUGGGGAGUACGG
rnacentral:rRNA from 1 species